ensembl:lncRNA
GCAGCCGCCGAGCGCGUCUCCAGCAGCCGCCGCCUCGGUGCCAGCAGUGGUGGUGGGUUUCGGGCCGGGCGCUCGCGCCCGCCCGCCUUUGGCCGCGCGGCCCCGGGGCGCGAAAUAAAGCCGCUGGUCCCCGCGGCGCGGUAUUCCCCGCCUCGGGGCGGGCGGCGGAGGCUGCGGGGCGGGACGCUGGCGAGAGCGCCUGGGCGGCGUGCCCCGCGGGGACGCGCACGCGGGGCUGCGGGGCGAGACGCGGGGCUGGGCGGCGAAUCCGCUGCUCGCGCCGCCUGCCCCGCCCGCGCGCGCCGUCCCGGGGUAGGGGGCGGUGGAGGGGGGAACCCAGGAGGGGCGGCGCCCGGUCCUCACCCGCAGCGGGCACGGAGGGGGCCGCGGGCGGCCUCGUUGGUAUUCCGGGCGCGGUUGCAGCCCCGAUCUCCCCUCAGAACAGGGGUGCCCGGGCGCGCGGGCACGGCCGCCGCUCUCGGGCGGUCUCCGCGGGCUGCGGGGCCCGCAGGCGCCUUGCUUUCCCCGUCCCCUCCUCCCUGGGUCCCCAGUACUCCCUCCCCCGCUCCGAUCCGGCGGCGAAGGGGUGGGCAGGGAAACGCGCUCUCUGGGACAGGUGCCAACUCCGAGACAAAAGACAUAAAAUAGGCGGCAACGGGGGAAGCGCGGCCGGCGCGCUCGGGCGGGGACGGCGCCGCCGCGGGGGCCGCAUCCUCGGUGCGGACCCGGGAAAGUUUGGGAAGUCGCCGUGGCGGCUUCGCAGCGGCGGGGGACGCGCGGCCCGGGUCGCCCUCCGCGCCGCGCUAGCCCUCUCCGCGCCGCUGCUGAAUAAUUCAUGGCGCGGCCGCCGGCCAUUAGCAUGCACCGGGCGCGCGGCGCGUCUGUGCCAAGCCGCCGCCGCAUUCGGCGCCCGGGCAGCGCGAGACGAGCGGCCGCGCGGCGGCCGGGCCCACGCUGUCCCCGCGCUCGCCUGCCCGGUGGCACCCAUUGUGCCCCGACCCGCCCCGCGGGGCUGUCCCCAAGCACGCCUGCAUCCCGCCGCCCGCCCGACGGCCCGGCUCUGCAAGUCCUGGCCCGCGACGCCCGCCCCGGAAUGCACGUGAACUUGGAGAAAGUCGCGGGGCGCGCCGGCCGGGCUCUCCGCGGCAGGGCGUGGGCGUCCCCGGGACGGCGCGCUUUCGUUUUCGUCUGGGACAAAGGUCCCUUGCGGCGCGCGGACGCCGUGACCGGGUCCUGCGGGCCACUCUCUGGCGCAGUCGGGUCGCUAAGCGCAGGGAAGCCGGAGCCCGAAGGCAAGGACCGACGCGGCGCGGGGCCGGAGAAGUGGGGCCUGGGCCGUGCGCCUGGCCGUCCAGAGCAGUCCCACCCUGCGGAGUUGCGGGAACUGGCCCCGCUCUGUCGUCCGCCGCUUCAACGCGUGAAGAGGGUGAGCAUUUGGAACCCAGGACUCAGACCGCUAGCUGAGGGCCUGUGCCGCUCUGGGCACGCGAGCGCGGCGCCGGCGGCGGCCAGGCGCGGUCCUCCCGCAAGGGCAGGGCUGUCGACCUGUGCGCCCCAGGUCACGAUCGGGUUCACGGCGACUCCCGAGGACGAACGUGGCCCCGUCCCAGAGCGCCACCCGAGACAUCAGGAGCACAUUGCGGGCUUGGAAAGACCCUCCGGGACCUCACGGCCCAGGUCUUCCACCCUUGGCCACCUCCCCAGUGAUGCCUGA